CGCUGCGUAGGUAAGUGUUUAUCCCUCGCGGCUCAGAAUUACGGUGUCGCAGGUUCGAAUCCUGACGCCGCAACCA
rnacentral:tRNA from 2 species